rnacentral:rRNA from 1 species
UACGUAGGGUGCAAGCGUUAAUCGGAAUUACUGGGCGUAAAGCGUGCGCAGGCGGUUUUGUAAGUCAGAUGUGAAAUCCCCGGGCUCAACCUGGGAACUGCGUUUGAAACUACAAGGCUAGAGUGUAGCAGAGGGGGGUAGAAUUCCACGUGUAGCAGUGAAAUGCGUAGAGAUGUGGAGGAAUACCAAUGGCGAAGGCAGCCCCCCUGGGUUAACACUGACGCUCAUGCACGAAAGCGUGGGGAGCAAACAGG